rnacentral:rRNA from 1 species
AUGUGUGGCGAAGCUGUGGGCGGGCGCGAAGGCGAGCAGCUGCGGCAGUCAUCGGUACGGGGCAGUGGCGCGUGGAUCUGGCCGUCUCGGUGUGGACGGAGUGGUCAAAUCCCCAGAUCCGAGCCGAUGCAAGCUCGGAGAGCGCCUCAUGGAGGGAGGUUGCCUCCGGCCGCCGGAUCCUUACCGGAUUUCAUCCUGGUCUUUAGGCUGGGAGGCUAUUGCGGCUCAAUAAAGCCAGAGGGCGAGGGGCUUCACCGGCUCUGGUUUUCAUGCUCUGCGUCGGUGGUUUUUCUCCAGCAGUUUCUACGGCGGAAGACAAUGGCGCUGAGCAUCUUCGGCUUGUACGGAGAAGACGAUGGACCAACUUGUUAUUUUGUUCCUUUUAUGAUCUUCUCUGCUGUAGUUUGGUGGUGGCAGCCGCACUGUUUGUAUCAUCUAUGUAUGUUUGUAUUUGUACGAGUCCAUGUACUGUUUUCCUUGACGUAUAAAUACAAGUAG